UGCGGGGUCGUCUAAAGGCAGGACGGGGCGCUCUGAACGCCUUGGUGUUGGUUCGAUUCCAGCCCCCGCAGC
rnacentral:tRNA from 1 species